UUGAUCAGGGGACUUAGCACCCCAGCGCGUAGGUUGUGAUUCGGAUCCGUGUUUGAGUCAGUCUACAAUUUCUGUAAGAAUCCCUACAUCUGAGCACCUCUAUGCAUAUAUUUGAUUUACCGUUGGGUUUAUUUUUAUAAUUAUGUGGUUAUUUGGUUUUUGGGCUGAUAUGACACAUAUGAGAUGUGCAUGUUGAUUGCUAUGGAAAUAUUAAAAUAAUUCAAUUGGGAAGAAUACUCAUUUUUGAGAAUUUAUGAAAACAUGUGAUGUGAUGGAAAUGUGAUUAAACAUGUAAAACUAGACAUGUAAAAUGGGUUGGACUAACCUUGUCAUGAGAUAGCCUCUACGAGCUUAUGCGUAGGAUAGCUGCCACGAGCUUAUGCGUGGGAUAGCCUCUACGAGCUUAUGCGUAGGAUAGCCUCCACGGGCUUACGUGUGGGAUAGCUGCCACGAGCU
rnacentral:lncRNA from 1 species